CUAGGAGUAGUCGUCCGCUUUGUGGGCCGAGCCUUCUCCUUAAUUUCACCGUUGAGGCUGCUCAUGAACAUCAUGAGCUCGUCGUGGGCGACCGAGGCUGAUCUUGCCGUGUGUGAGGGAUCAGCCGACUGCCCUUAAGGCUUACUCAAUGGUCCAGGGGGCCUGCUAGGACCCGCCUGGUCAGCAUUGUGCUCCCGCCUGUCUUUGUGGCAUAGGCGCUUAGAGUUGAGUGACCCGUCUGGGGCCACAUUGGUUUCGAUGUCUCCAUCGUCAUCUAAGUCAUGGUCUGUCUGGACCAUUAUUUCUUCCAGAGGCCGGUUAGUCUCACGAUGCGGCACAGGCUGCUCUUGUGAAUCAAUCGUAGAGGUACUCUUCCCUCAAACGGCGCCAAAUGUUUUAGGGUUUUUUGUUUCCCUUGGGAGAGUUACAGCUCAAGCAUGGAUUCAGCAAGGACGCCUAUACCUGCAAAAUAAACGGAGCACCGAAUGGUCAGUGGUCCGCCUUCGAAGAUUAAGUUAGUAUGAAUUUGGAGUAAAACGUGCGGAAAUUAAGUUUUCUGCUCGGAUUGCAAGCCUAGGUGUAGUCUGUUUCUUGAGAACGACAGCUCAGUAAUGAUUGGAUAAUGUAACGUGUCCCCAUAAAUGAAGGGAAUGUCCCUAUUUAUAGAGACCUUGGAAAGUGUGCCCUACUCUAGGGUUUGAUAACCUAGGGAUUAGGGCAGCGCCGUUUUGAGGCACCCUCGAAGUUUGGGCCUUGAUGGCCGUUAUUUCAAGGAAGGGAUAUCCGAGUGACACGUGUCACGCAUCUGGAGGGCCCAUUUGGACGCCUCCCAUAGUGACACGUGUCGUUCUCUUAUUAGUCCACUAGGGGGUGUAAUAUACCGUAAAUCAACUAUUUCGGUGCGGGCCGCGAGAGCGGUAACAAAUCGAGGCAAACUCUGAAUACUAGAUAUGACCUCCAAAUAAUAGGGGUCAAGGUUGGCGAGUGAGACGAUGGGGGAUAAGCUUCAUCGUGGAGAGGGAAGUAGCCUAGAUCACCAUCUAAGGCUCUUCAAUGACGGCUCAGUGAUAAAGGAUGUAGGGGUGCAGAGACAGCCAGGAGGUUUUCCCAAGAGAAGCCACCCUUGAAAGAGUUUGUAAUAGCUCACUGAUCGAGCGCUCUUGCGGUGAAAAUGGACGAGGCUAAUUGGUCUACUGGCUGUGGGAUAUAAAAAAGCAUUGGUAGGGGAGCAUUUUAUGUUAAGGGGAAACGCGCGCGGGAGCUGCGUUGGAAGAAGCAUAAGCGAGAAUGUCGGCUUGAGUAACGUAAACAUUGGUGAGAAUCCAAUUCCCCGAAAACCUAAGGGUUCCUCCGCAAGGUUCGUCCACGCAGGGUGAGUCAAGGCCUUAGAUCAGGCCGAAAGGCGUAGUCGAUGGACAAAAGGUGAAUAUUCCUAUACUAACUCUUGUUUGUCCCGAGUGACAAAGGAGGGUAGGUUAGCUAAAAGAUGGUUAUCAGUUCAACGACGCAUGGUGAUCCCUUUUUUCAGGGUAAGAAGGGGUAGAGAAAAUGCCUCGAGCCAAUGUUCGAGUACAGGGUGCUGAAGUAACCCAUGCCAUACUCCAGGAAAAGCUCAAACGACCUUUACCAAAAGUGUACCUAUACCUUAAAACCGACACAGGUAGGCAGGUAGAGAAUACCUUGGGGUGCGAGAUAACACUCUCUAAGGAACUCGGCAAAAUAGCCCCGUAACUUCGGGAGAAGGGGUACCCGCUCACAUAGGGGGUCGAAGUGACCAGGCCCGGGCGACUGUUUACCGAAAACACAGGUCUCUAAAAAGUCUUAAGACCAUGUAUGGGGGCUGACGCCUGCCUAGUGCCGGAAGGUCAAGGAAGUUGGUGACCUGAAGACAGGGGAGCCGGCGAUCGAAGCCCCGGUGAACGUCGGCCGUAACUAUAACGAUCCUAAGGUAUCGAAAUUCCUUAUCGGGUAAGUUCCAACCCGCACGAAAGGAGUAAAGAUCUGGGCACGGUCUUGGAGAGAGACUCGGUGAAAUAGACAUGUCUGUGAAGAUGCGGACUGCUUACACCUGGAUAGAAAGACCCUAUAUGAAGCUUUACUAUCCCAGGGAUUGGCUAUGGGCCUUUCCAGCGCAACUUAGGUGUAAGGCAAAGAAGGCCCCGUUCCGGGGGGGGCCCGAGCCAUCAGUGAGAUACCACUCUAGAAGUGCUAGAAUUCUAACUUGGUGUCAGGACCUACAGGACAAGGGACAGUCUUAGGUAGACAAUUUCUAUGGGGAGUAGGCCUCCCAAAAGGUAACGGAGGCGUUCAAACAUUUCCUCGGGCCAAACGGAGAUUGGCCUUGAGGGCAAAGGCAGAAAGGAGCUUGACUGCAAGACCCACCCGUCGAGCAGGGAUGAAAGUUGACCUUAGUGAUCUGAUGGUGCCGACUGGAGGGAUCGUUGCUGAUAAAAGUUAUUAUAGGGAUAACAGGCUAAUCUUACCCAAGAGUUCACAUCGAUGGGAAGGUUUGACACCUCAAAGUCGGCUCUAAGCCACCUGGGCCUGUAGUAUGUUACAAGGGUUAGGUUGUUCGCCCAUUAAAGCGGUACGUGAUAUGGGUUCAGAACGUCGUGAGACAGUUCGGUCCAUAUCUUGUGUGGGCGUUAAAGCAUUAAGAGGACCGAGAAGGACGCACCUCUAGUAUACAAGUUACCGUGCCCAUGGUAAACGUUAGGUAGCCAAGUAUGGAGCAGAUAACUACUGAACGAUGAGUGCUCUCCUAUUCCUACUUUCCCAGAGCUUUUGAUAGCACAUUUGAGGCAGCGUCGAGUUCUCUGCCCCUGAGGGGUGAGCGACAAAUGUUUGGAAAGUGAAGGUCACUACGAGACGAGCCGUUUAUCAUUACGAUAUGUAUCAUGUGGAAGUGCAAUGA
rnacentral:rRNA from 1 species